GAAAAAGCAGGGAUCUGUUAUUUUUUGUGAACUGGUCUCUCGUAAACUUCAGGGAUAGAAAAUUGCAAGGUUAUUGGGUGAACCUCUUGAGUUCCAUUGAUUGAUGGUUUAGUAAACAAUGUUACACUU
rnacentral:snoRNA from 1 species